CAGCUCCAGGCGGGCACGCAUCUUUGUUGUGUUCUCUGCUGACUAUAUCCUCAGCACCUAGAACUGUGUCUGUCACCUAAUAGAUGCUCAAUAAACCUGCCAGUAAUUUCAGCAAAUGAAACGUGGAACACGUCAAGGCCAGAGGAUGGAAAAGGCUCCAGUUUUGAUAAAAGGAGGCCUGCUUGGCUUGGAAUCCUCUCUCCUGCUGGUUGGGAGAUGCAAAGAUGUUUCCAGAGAGGGGCUGAUGAAUUGAGGGGAAAGAAAUGAGCCCAGUAUGAGUCCCCUUUCAGGGCUGAGCGUGUAUAAAACCAAACAACUUGGAACCGCUCCAAGAGAGGGGAUUAAAGCAACAUGUUAUUCUG
rnacentral:lncRNA from 10 species